rnacentral:rRNA from 1 species
AUGGGCCAGGCCCAACAUACACAACUCUCCCUUGGAGACCAUUCAUCUAAACAUGACAGUGCAAGACUAAAAGAUCAUAGAGCAUGUAGGCCGUCGGAUCUCAGGCCAGAUCGCCAUGGACCGUCUGAUAUUUACCCGAUCGUCCUGGGCCGUCGGAUAAAAUUCCAAUGGCAACAGAAUGUAAAUACCAUGCCCCCACCAGGACAUUCCGAUCAUUUCGCGUCGUGGGGUAUAAAAGGGGGGCGCUCCUGUGGUGAAGACCUAGCCGCCUCCUCCUCUCUCCCUCCCUCCCGCGCCCGCCUCUCUCUCUCCCUCCCGCGCCCCUUCCUGCCCCGCCGUCGCCGUCGCCGCUCCCCGCACUCGCUCCUCCUCCCCCCGCAUCUCCCUCCCUCCCACGCAGCCGCCUCUCUCCCUCGGGCACACUGGGGCAGGGGGUCUCUCCGGGGACGACAGGGCUGCCGGCCGGAGUUGGAUCGAGAUCCCGGCCCGCAUCGCGCCUUGACAAAGCAGCAGGCCAAGGCGGCGCUGCCCUUCUCCGCCCUGUGCGUGCGGAUAUCCAGCAACUACUACCCCAACCUCGGCGCCCUCCGCAACGCCUCCCACGUCAGCCUCACCGACGCCGCAUACGUCGAGAUCUCCGAGGGCGACUUCUGA